AGGUACAUGUGCAGAACAUGCAGGAUCGUUGUAUAGGUGCAUACAUGGCAAUGUGGUUUGCUGCCUUCAUCCCCCCAUCACCCAUAUCUGGCAUUUCUCCCCAUGUUAUCCCUCCCCAACCUUCCUACCCACCUUCUGCUGUCCCUCUCCUAUUUCCCCUCAACAGACCCCAGUGUGUGAUGCUCCCCUUCCGGUGUCCAUGUGUUCUCAUUGUUCAACACCCACCUAUGAGUGAGAAGAUGCCGUGUUUGAUUUUCUGUUCUUGUGUCAGUUUGCUGAGAAUGAUGGUUUCCAGGUUAAUCAUGUCCCUACCAAGGACACGAACUCAUCAUUUUUUAUGGCUGCAUAGUAUUCCAUAGUGUAUAUUACCACAUUUUCCUUGUCCAGUCUGUCACUGAUGGGCAUUUGGAUUGGUUCCAGGCUUUUGCUACUGUAAACAGUGCCGCAAUGAACAUUCAUGUGCAUGUGUCUUUAUAAUAGAACGAUUUAUAAUCCUUUGGAUAUAUACCCAGUAAUGGGAAUCCUGGGUCAAUUGGUAUUUCUAUUUCUAGGCCAUUGAGGAAUCACCACACUGUCUUUCACAAUGAUUGAACUAAUUUACACUCCCACCAACAGUGUAAAAGUGUUCCUAUUUCUCCACAUCCUCUCCAGCAUCUAUUGUCUCAAGAUUUUUUAAUGAUUGCCAUUCUAUGUCUUUUCUAUAGUAAAUAAUACUGCAGUGAACAUACAUGUGCAUGUAUCUUUACCCAGAUUGCUGGGUUAUAUGGUAUUUCUGCCUGUAGGUCUUUGAGGAAUCGCCACACUGUCUUACAUGAUGAUUGAACUACUUUACACUCUCACUAACAGUGUGAAAGUGUUUUUUCCCUGCAACCUCUCUAACAUCUGUUGUUUUUGAUUUUUAGUAAUAGCCAUUCUGACUGGUGUGAGAUGGUAUCUCAUGGUGGUUUUGAUUUGCAUUUCUCUAAUGAUCAGUGACAAAGCUUUUUAAAAUAUGUUUGUUGAUCACAUAAAUGUCUUCUUUUGAGAGGUAUCUAUUCAUGUUCUUUGCCCAUUUUUUAAUGGAGUUAUUUGUUUUUUUCUUGUAAAUUUGUUUAAAUUCCCUGUAGAUGCUAGAUGUUAGACUUUUGUCAGAUGGACAGAUUUCAAAUAUUUUCUCCCAUUCUCUAGGUUGUCUGUUCACUCUUAUAGUAGUUUCUUGCUGUGAAGAAGCUCUUUAGUUUAAUUAGAUCCUAUUUGUCAAUUUUUUCUUUUGUUGCAAUUGUUUUAGCAACCUCAUCAUGAAAUCUUUGCCUGUGCCUAUGUCCUUCCUGAAUAGUAUUACCUAGAUUUUCUUCUAGGGUUUUUAUAGUUUUGUGUUUCACAUUUAAGUCUUAAUAUAUCUUGAGUUGAUUUUUGUAUAUGGUGUAAGGAAGGGGUACAGUUUCAAUUUUCUAUAUAUGGCUAGCCAGUUUUCCCCCUACAUCAUUUAUUAAGUGGGAAUCAAUUCCUUGAGGCUUGUUUUAGUCAGGUUUGUUCAAAGAUCAGAUGGUUGCAGAUGUGUGGUCUUAUUUCUGAGUUCUCUACUCUGUUCCAAUGUUCUAUGUGUCUAUUUUUUUUGCCAGUACCAUGUUGUUUUGAUUACUGUAUCCUUGUCGUAUAGUUUGAAGUCAGGUAGUGUGAUGCCUCCAGUCUUGUUCUUUUUGCUUAGGAUUGUCUUUUUUGGUUCCAUAUGAAUUUUAAAAUAGUUUUUUUUUCUAAUUCUGUGAAGAAUGUAAAUUGUAGCUUAAUGAGAAUAGCAUUGAAUCUAUGAAUUGCUUUGGAUAGUAUGGCCAUUUAUAUGAUGUUGAUUCUUCAUAUCAAUGAGCAUGGAAGGUUUUUCUAUUUGUUUGUGUUAUGUCUUAUUUCUUUGAUCAGUAGUUUGUAGUUCUCCUUGAAGAGAUCUUUCACUUCCUUUGUUAGCUGCAUUCCUAGAUAGUUUAUUCUUUUUGUGGUAAUUGUAAAUGGAAAUUCAUUCAUAAUUUGGCUUUUGGCUUGCCUGUUGUUGGUGUACAGGAAUGUUUGUGGUUUUUGCACAUUGAUUUUGUAUCCUGAGACUUCACUGAAGUUGCUUAUCAGCUUCAGAAGCUUUCUCAGCCAAUGCAAAAGAACUGAAAUAACACAUGGUCUCUCAGACCACAGCACAAUUAAGUAAGAACUCUAGAACAAGAAAUUCAUUCAAAACCACACAACUAUUAAUACAUGGAAAUUGAACAGCCUGCCCUUGAAUGACUGUUGAGUAAAUAAUGAAGAACAAUGAAAAAAUAAUGAGAACAAAGAUACAAUGUACCACAGUCUUUUGGACACAGCUAAAUUAGUGUUAAGAGGAAAAUUUAUAGCACUAAAUGUCCACAUCAAAAAGGUAGAACGAUCUCAAGUUCACAUCCUAAUAUCACAACUAAAAGAACUAGAGAACUAAGAGUGAACAAACUUCAAACAUAGCAGAAGAAAAGAAAUAGCCAAGAUCAGAGAUGAACUGAAGGAGAUAGAGACACAAAGAAACCUUCAAAAAAAUCAAUGAAUCCAGGAGUUGUUUUUUUGAAAAAAAAAAUUAAUAAAAUAGAUAGACCACCAGCUAAACUAAUAAAGAAGAAAAGAGAGAAGAAUCAAAUAAACACAAUCAGACAUGACAAGGAGAUUAUCACUACUGAUCCCACAGGAAAAAAAAAAAUCAAUGAAUACCAUAUACACACCUCUAUGCACAUUAACUAGAACAUCUAGAAGAAAUAAAUACUUUUCUGGACAUAUACACCCUCCCAAAACUGAACCAAUAAGAGACUGAAUCCCAGAAUAGAUCAAUAAUGAGUUCUGAAAUUGAGGCAGUAAAAAAUAUCCUACCAACCAAUCAAAGAACCCAGGACCAGGCAGAUUCACAGUUGAAUUCUACCAGAGGUACAAAAAGGAGCUGGUACCAUUCCUUCUGAAACUAUUCCAAAAAAUUGAAAAGGAAGGACUCCUCCCUAACUCAUUCUAUGAGGCCAGCAUCAUUCUGAUACCAAAACCUAGCAGCGACACAAUGAAAAAAGAGAACUUCAGGCCAAUAUCUUUGAUGAACAUCAAUGUGAAAAUUCUCAAUAAAAUACUGGCAAACCAAAUUCAGCAGCACAUCAAAAAGCUUGUAUACCAUGAUCAAGUAGGCUGCAUCCUGGGGAUGCAAGUUUGAUUCAACUUAUGCAAAUCAAUAAAUGUGAUUCAUCAUAUAAACAGAACUAAAGACAAAAACCACAUGAUUAUCUCUACAGAUGCAGAAAAGGCUUUUGAUAAAACUCAACAACUCAUGUUAAAAACUCUCAAUAAACUAGUUAUUGAAGGAACAUAUGUGAAAAUAAUAAAACCCAUAUAUGACAAACCCAUAGACAACAUACUGAAUGGGCAAAAGCUGGAAAAAUUCCCCUUGGAAUCUGGUAUAAGACAAGAAUACCUUCUCUGGCUCCUUCCAUUCAACGCAGUAUUGGAAAUUCUGGCCAGGGCAAUCAAGCAAGGAAAGAAAUAAAGGGUAUUCACACAGGAAGAGAGAAAGUCAAACUAUCUUUUUUUGCAGAUGACAUAAUUCUUUAUCUAUAUCUUUGCUUUUUUAAAACAAUCAAUUGAGCCACCCUAAGGAUUGCCAGAGCCAAUGGGAAAAGCAGAAUCCCCUUGUCCCUCUUCUCAGUCUAGACUCCAAGAUGGGUUCAACAACUCUUUUCUCCGUGACUAGUUGUUUUCACUUCCUGUUUUGUUAUGUUCACAGCCUAUCAGUAUUCCUGGAGAAAGUCACUAUUCCUCUCUCUCACUUCACCACAAAUCCUUGCUUUAAUGUUAGCCAGACUUCAUUACUGCUUUGGAGCAGCAUUCCCCACAACAGUUUUGUGGUUUUCCCAAGAUUUCUAUUCUAUUCUCAUCUUCCUUCAUUCUCUUCAUCUUCCUCUUCAAUUUGUGUAUAGAUUUGGAAUUAUUAUACAAUGGAAAUUUGAACUUUGCUGUUGUUAACCUCAGUAUUUCUUUCAUUCUUCCAUUUUUGUCCUCUUGAUUUUCAAGGCUUGUCUUCCACUGUCUUCUCUUGAUUUGUUCUCUGCAAUCUUGUAUUUCACGACUUACCAUAUCACCUCAUAUUCAUAUCUAGCUGUGAUUUCUUUUACCAAUUCUAUUUUUACCUUUAAAAUUACUAUUUGGGAAUCUCCACUUAGCUGCAUUUUACUCACUUAUAACUUAGCAUGUCAUUAUUCUGAGCCUAAAUCAUCUUUUCCUCACUUCCUUGUUUCUGAUAAUAAAUGAAAAUUUUUGCCGCAUGGUUACUAGAUAUGUCUCCUGUACAAUAAUUCAAAUGAUGCUAUACCCUUACUGGUUUUGUAUUUAAUCUUCCUAAGCCUCAGUUUUCUCAUUUUAGAGUAGUGAAGAUAUUUGGAUUGUAAGAAUUAAAAUAUAAACUCAUACGUAACAGGACAAUCUUGGUGACUAGUAUAUGGAAGGCAUUCAUUAGGCUUUCUCUUAUUUAAGCAUCUCCAGGGCUCUGUAUUAUUUAUAAAAUAAGAGUUAGUUGCUUCCCAGCCUGAUGCAUAAUCUCUCAUUAAAUUGUCCUCUAGGAAUGCUUCAGUUUUUCUUUUGCUCACCUCUUUUUCUCUUUAUCUCAAAGUCAGCCCUUCAUUAUUUCCACCAGUUGCAGUCCUACCAGUUGAAAUCCCAAUUACCUUUCAUAGCCCAGUUUAAUCAUAUUCUCUUCUGCAAAAGGCUCCCUAAAGAUGGUAAUUAGAUGUGCAUUCUCCUUUUCACGUUUCAAUUCUUUUUCCACAAUUUACCAAAUUCUCCCUUGAAUUGCAGGUAUAGCUGUAGAUGAUAUCUUUCUGUUAGACCUUUACAUUUAUUUUGAGGGCUAGCUUUAUUCUUAACUAUUUAUAAACAUCACAGUGCUAAUAAUGUGCUUUUCCACAAUAAACUCUCAAAAUAUAUGUUGACUAACUUAAUAAUCAGUGAUUUCUGUAUACAUUCAUAUCUUCACAUAAUUCAGAGGGAAAAACUGAUUGUGAAAUAUGAUAGAGUUAUGGGUCAUGACAUUGUACAAAUAUGUUAAAACUACAUUUGAUUAGAUAAUGUAAUUGUCUGCUAGAGAAGGCAUAUAUGGUUUGUUCACUUUAUGUGGCCUCAGAAGAAUGGAAUCAGGCCUAGACUAAACAUUUUAUAAUCUUUCACUGGCCUUCCUGGAGAUAAACUGCUCAGUCUUUGCCAUCUCUAAUUAUUGUAAUUUUGUACUUAGAACACAUGUGUUAUAUGGAAAUCUCCCUUGCCUGCACUAUUUCCUCAUGCCCUGCUGGCAAGCACAGUAGGUAGUUGUUGAGGUUCCAUUUUGCAAAGGCUAUAGUUAAAGCCAUUUUGAAGAGAAUUCUUGGAUUUCUAGGUUAUGGAUUCGCCUAUUUAGUUAAAAUGAAGGGGGAAUUAAAGUAAUUAAAAUAUAUUAUUUAUGAAAAUAAAUUUAAAAAACAGCAUAAUCCAUAACACCAUCAUAAUAAAGGACAAGAAGAGGAGAGUACAGGAGUAGGGAGAAGAAGCAUAUGAAGAAAUAAAAAAACUGAGCUGUCCAGAAGAACUUUCUACCCUGAUUACAAUUUCUCAACUCUUGAUCUCACUUUCCCUGCAUAGAUAUGGCCAUAAAGUUCUUUAUGAUAUAAGAUUUAAUCUAUGACAUAAGAUUUUUCUUAUAAAAUUCUUAUGAUAACAUAAGAUUCCUGGAGCCCUUUAUGAAACAUUAGAAUGUCCUUGGUUAGGAGGAAAGUUUGAUAUAAUGAAAAGAAUGUUGACUUUGGCUUUGACAACUGGGAACUAGAUGCAAGUUCUAGCUCUUGUAUUACUGUGUGAUCUUAGACUAGUCACUUAAAAUCUCUGGUGCAUUUGUUCCUAUCUGAGAAUAAUCCUGUAAAAUACUUUCCUAAAUGUAAAGUGUUUUGUCAGUAAUGACUCAGUGAAGGGGCUAUGAUGAUUUCUGAAACCAGAAGAAUACAUAAAGCCUUUAAUUCUCACCUCAAGGGCUCUGCUCUUGCUUUUCUCUGCCUGGAUCUCUCUUCUCUCUUUUUAUUCUGCAAGUCCUAAUUUUAAAUGUUCUCACUUUAGUGAGAGGUCUCUCUUGACCAUUGUGUUAGUUUGCUAGGGCUGCUAUGGAUGGCUUAAACAACAGAAAUUUAUUUUGUCACAUUUGUAGAGCCUAGAAAUCUGAGAUCGAGGUGUUGGUAGGCUUGGUUUCUUUUGAAGUCCUCUCUCCUUGGCUUGUAGAUAGUCAUCUUCUUCAGACAUAGGUUCUUUCUAUGUCUGUGUUCUAUUCUCCUCUUCUUAUAGGGACAUCAGUUAUUAGAUUAGGGCUCUACUAAUAUGACCUCAGUUUUAACUUAGAUACCUCUUUAAAGGCCCUUUUAGCAAGACAGUCACAUUCUCAGGUACUGGAGAUUCAAUUAAGGAUUUUGUGGGACACAGUUCAGCUCAUAACAAGCACCUUAUGAAACUGGUUUCUCCAGAAUGCUUCAUCUCAUUUUAUAUGCCUAUAUAUUACUUAUUUGAAAUUAUUUUAUUAGUUUACUCUUUUUGCCUGACUUUUCACUUGAAUUUAAUCUUCAUGAAGGUGAAGACUAGAUCUUGUUACUUUUAUAUCCUCACCCUCUGCAAAGUGCCUUGUAUGUGGAAAGUGCCCGGUUUUGUCAUGUACUAGGCAUGUGACAUUGGGUAAAUUAUUUCAUCUGUCUGCAUCUUAGUUUACUUAGUGAACUAGAAACCUUAAGAGCAUUGUCUUCCUAUGAUAAUUAUUUUUUUUAGUGAUUAGAAUGUCUGACAGAUAGAAAAUGUUCCGUAAACAUUAGCCAUUAUUCUUUCUUUCCACACAUUUAUAGAAAACAAGAAUUAGUGAAUCAAGUGCCUUUAUUUUCAGAACUUAAAUAUUUCUGAAUUGCUCUCAUACACCAAUCUAUCACAAAGCAGAUUUUUUUUGGCUUUCAGAAUGCCAUAUUCUUUAGUGAACAUGUGAACAACCAGAAACCCUUUUGGUGCUGAAAGUUUUGUGUUCCUAACCGCAUCUUCAUAGUAGCUUCUCUCCAAUUGCUUUGACUGCAUGCAUCAGAUCUUUUGGGUAGGUGUAUCUUCUGUGUACUUGUGUUAAUGAUGAUUUGUGUAUGUACACAUAUAUAAUUUUUUAUUUAGAGUUAACUGGAUAUGGGAAUGCAAACACUGACUACAAGAUAGAAUAACUGGAUUCCAGGGGAACUAAAGGCCAAAAGCUUAGCUCUAGCAAAAGGAGACAAGAAAGUUGGGAUCCAGAGUGGUGUUGAACAAGGAGUCAGAGGAACUGGUUCAGGAGGUUGGCCUAGAUGGGGCAGAGCUCAAAGAGGGCAAGACAAGAACUCCUUAUCCUUUGCCUAUCUAGCCUGUUCCAGGGGCAUAUAUAAGUCAGAGAGCCUAUGGGUUUCUCAACAGGAUCUGAAUCAGCAGUGCCUGAAUAUAUCCAUGCUAGGAUUGAUGUAUACAGACUGAAAGAUUUUUAAAUGAUCUAAUCAGUUCAGGGAUAUACCUUAUCUACUAUUUAGGACUUAUAAUUGUCUAUAAUAAAUUCUUUAUAUAUAUAUAAUUGCACUUUAGGUUCUGGGGUACAUGUGCAGAACAUGCAGGAUUAUUGAAUAAGUACAUACAUUCUUUAUAGCAGUUCUAAUGCCAAUCUGUAUUUUUAUGGAAAGUAAACUUAUUUCAUAGAUGAUUUUCUGAAAUAUGCCAAAAUAUGUUAUUUUUAAAGCAUUCAAGAAGUAAUAAAUUAGAAAUAAUGGCCAAAUGUGUAGAGCAUUUACAAUGUAUCAGGCACUGUGGUAAGCACUUUAGAUGCUUACCACAUUUCAUUAUCACACAUCUAUGUUGGUAAUUGUAUUAGUCCAUUCUUGAAUCAUUUUAAAGAAAUACUUGAGAUUGGGUAAUUUAUAAAAUAAAGAGGUUUAAUUGGCUCAUGGUUCUGCAGGCCUCAGGAAACUUACAAUCAUGGUGGAAGUUGAAGGGGAAGGGGAAGGAGUGCCUUCACAUGGCCAGAGCAGGAGAAAGAGAGAGAAGGGGAAGGUGCUAUAUACUUUUAAACAACCGGAUCUCACGAUCGCUCAUUCACUCAUUAUCAGGGGAACAGCACGGAGCAGAUGAGGCUAAACCAUUCACGAGAAACUGCUCCCAUGAUCUAAUCACCUCCCACCAGGUCCCACUUCCAACAUUGGGGAUUAUGAUUGAAUAUGAGAUUUGGGUGGGUACACAUCUCCAAACCAUAUAAGUAAUAUAUUAUUUCAAUUUAAAGAGGAGGAAACUGAAAAAUUAUGUGGUCAAAAUAACACAGUUUAUAAGGUGAAGAUCAGCACAGAAACUAACACUCAAAUUCCAUUCCAUCUAGCAUUUACUAGGUGUUUAUUUUGCCUUUGCUGUAUGUGCAAAAUGAUAUAUAAGGGUUAUAGCUUUAAAUCCUGACAACAUUUUUUGGUGGUAGAUAUAAUUCCUAAUUUUCCAGUGUGGAUGCUAAGGCUUAGAGAGUUUUGCUGAGGGCCUUAACUUUAUGAAACAGAAUCAUAAACAUGAGUUCCAGGGCUUUGAGUGAAAGCAGCAAAGGAAAGGAUUUUGUCUGACUGUCACAACCCUCCUUAUAACUAAUGUAUUUUUUAUAUUUGCAGUCCAGAUGUAGUUAAAAAAAGACACACACACAUUGAAGUUACCAUAAAUAGAAAGAGGAGGGUUUCUGGGUGAAGUAGUGGUAAAUAUUGUACAGUUUUAUUCAGUGUGAAACACAAAGGCUUCCAACACAGGAAUGUUUCCAACACUAAUGUAGCAUCUGUGCCUCUGAAACUAGUUCUCUCUAACAAUGAGCAACUUCUUAUUUGGACAGUGCUGGCACUAAACACCAUGACAGGAAUGACUCUUGGCAAUACCUUUUUGAGAGGAAUAAUAUGGUUUUAAAAAAAAGUGAGUAUGUAAAACAGAGAUUUGGCAAAUAGACCAUCCAAUUUUGACAUCCCAGCAAAUGUACCCUUAUUAAAAAUUAAAGUUGAGACAUAUAGCUUUUGCUUUCAUUUUUCCUAGGAUAGGAUAAUCCCUGAAUUCCCAUGUUGAAAAGAAAAUGCUAAAAUAUCAACAUCCCUAUGAAUCACUCCCUUAUGCAAUAAAUCCUGAAAUUCAACCUCAAAAUUCUGUAGUUACAAGCCUAUCACUAGUGUGUUUCUUUUAACACAUGACAAUAUCCAUGCACACUGAGGCUGCAUAUUAGUUCUCUCCAGAGGUUGUAAAUAAUCUCACACAAUAUAUGUGGCUUUGUUUUUUAUAACUGCAGAAGUAGACAAAAAGGUUUGGAAAAAUGUCUGCUUUUCCCCCACUUCAUGAACUCUUUAGUCUGAUUAUUGGGCCCAGGAUAAGUAAAACUUAAGUGUGUUUGCUCUUAAUUAAAGCUCUUUUCAUGGUGUACCCAGAGGCACCACUUAAGAAGUGUGCAAACCACAUGAGAUGAAUAGUAAGUACUCUGGUUUACCGCCCAAAAGAUUAUCUAUGCAUUUUUCUUUUGAAAAAUUGAAGUUAGAGACAUAAGCAAGAAGCUUCAUACAUAGAAAAUUUAAUGUAUGUCAGUCAUUCUCACAUAUUUGUGUUUCUAUUAGCAAGGGCUUUACAAAGAAACUGCCAUAUGGAGUAGAAUUGAAUAGGAGAAUGUUCUCACCUACACAGAAAUAAAGGCAUGACACUCUUGUAUAAAUUUCAGUUCUUCUUCUUUCUUGCCACCAAAGCUCAUGGCUUAUGUUCCUAAGUAAACUAUAAGUUCUAGUCAUAUGUUUGUUGUGUAUAAAAGAAUACAGAAAAGUAGUAAUAACCAUUCCCAUAAACAGGACACCUAUACAGGCUCUCAUAAAACUUGAAAACAAGGGAUCUAUUAGGUAUAGCAACAAAUGGUGGAAAAAAGCUGCUUGUCUUGAUGUAGCUUUGAGAACAAUCAAGCACAGUUUUCCAGCAUUAGAAUUCUGUAUUUCUUAUCUGGCUUAAUCUACUGUUUUUAUAACCCCUUCCUGACUUUGGGUUUUUAACCUUUCUGAUUCUUAAUUUCCUUAUCUGUAUUCAUACUAAGAUAUUUUCAGGUAUUCUUCAAAGUUUUUCAUGCAUUAGCCCUUUUAAUCUUCAAUAUAAUGCCAUAACAUAGAUAUUAUUUCCUGUUAUACAGAUGAGGAAACAGGUUUAGGGAGGGUAACUUGCCUAACUUGAUAUAACCAGUAAAAGUGUUAGCAUCAGACUCAUGUUAUUCUGACACUAAUGUCCAAGCACUUAACCCUGGUGGUUGUAAGGACUAACUAAGAUAUUGGGUAUAUAGUAGGAGCUUAACAAAUGACUUAUUAAUUCAGUAAAUAUUUUAGAUGUUUAUGCUGUGUGCCAUGUACUGUUCUAUGCAUUUAGGCUAUAGCUGUGGAUGAUUAAAAAAAAGACAAAAUCUACAUAAUCAUGAAAUUUAUGGUAUAAUGAGGAACACAGAUAACUUUAAAAAAAAUUUUCUAGGCAGUGAGGACUGUUUGCAGAAAAAUGAGGUUGCAUAGGGAAUAGAUAUUGAAGAUGGGAUGACUAUUUCAAGGUUUUCCUGACAAAGUGACAUUUGAACAAACACCUGAAUAAAGUAUGGGAGCAAGUUACCAAGAAAUAAGUAGAAAGAAUGUUCCAAGCAGAGAGGGCAAAUAAGUGCAAAGCUCUGGAGUAUUCAAGGAACAUGAAGGAAAUCUGUCUGGUUGGAGUGGAAUGACUUAGGGGAAAGUACUAUGAUUUUAUUCUGAAUUAGAUGGGAAGCUAUUGUAGGAUUUUUAAGCAGAGGCAUGAAACUAUCUGAUGAAAAUUUUAAAAUAAGGAGUACUCUGGUUGCUGACGUAGACUAAAGACAUUGAAGUAGAAUUAAUAGGAUUUUCUUAUGAACUGGAUGUGGUUGGAAUUGGUGGGAGACAGUCUCAAAUAAGUUUUUGACCUGAGAAACUUAAAAUGGAAUUGCCAUUGAUAGAGUUAAGGAAGAGUGGAGGUGGGGGUGGAAGUAGAAACAGGAAAACAUAUGUUCAGGUUGUUAUAUUCAUGUCAUAUUUGAGAUGCUUAGUAGGCAUCCAAAAGGACACAUCAGUUGGAUAAACAAAUCUGGGAUUUAAGGGAAAAGUUGGGGUUAGAGAUAUAUAUUUAAGAUCUGUUAGUCUGUAUAUGAUAUUUAAAAUAUGGAACCAAAUGAAAUCACCUAGAGAGUGAGUUCAGCUAAAGGACAAAGGGAUCUGGGCUUGGGGCAUUCAAGUAAAGGAGCUCCAGAAGAUGAAUAGGAACCAAUAGAGAAGACUGAAAAGAAGAACCAAGAAACUGCUGUCGUGUUCACAAGAAAUUGUGUUCACUCACAGCAUUUCUGACACCAAAUAUGUGAGUAUUUUAUCUUACUAACAAGUUCUUCAAUACUAACAGGGUGUUCCACAGUUCAGCUCAAUUCUGCCACCCCAGACAUUAAAUACUCAGUGCCACAAGAUCACGUCCCCAAUUUCAGAUGCUAGUCACAAGUCCCAGGCCUCCUGUAUUUCUGACCAACCAGCUACAAAUUGGGAGGUCAAAGACCCUCUCCUCAGGUUCAGUAAUUUGCUAGAAUGGCUCAUGGAACUCAAGAACACUCUUAUUCUUACUAGUUUAUUAUAAAGAUACAGCUCAGGGACAACCAAACAGAGGAGAUGGAUAGGGCAAUGUAUGGGAAGAUUGCCUGGGACUUCCAUACCCUCUUCUGGCUUAUCUCCCUCCAAGCACCUUGAUGUGUUUACUGACGCAGAAGCUUUGAGACCCCCAGCAUUUAAGAGUUCUAUGAAGGAUUCAUUACAUAGGCAUGAUUGAUGUAAUCAUUGAUUAUUAGUGACUGACUCAAUCUUUAGCCUUUCUUCCCUCCCCUGAGGUUGAAGGGGAGGAGGCAGAAAGGUACAAACCUCUAAUCAUGUCUUGGUCUUUCUGGUGGACAGCCCUCAUUCCAAAACUACCUAAGGGCCACCAGAUUACAACCAAAGUUGCUUCAAUCAUUCAGAAAAUUCCAGGGGAUUUAGGAGCUUUGUGUUAGGAACUGGAACAAACAUGAAAUAUUAGAAAAGAGACUCCUAUUACCCUGUCACUUAGAUAUAACAGGAGUUUUAGGAACUUUGUCUCAGGAACCAGGAACAAAGAAAAACAUUCAUUUCUUAUUAUGGCACAAUAAAGGGAAAAGGCUAGGAGAGAUGGUGUGUGUCUGUAGUCCCAGCCACUUGGGAGGCUGAGGCAGGAGGACUUCCUGAGCAUAGGAGUUAGAGGCCAGCCUGAAAAAUAAAAAGAAAAGGGAAGGGGUGAUCAACCAUGUCAAAUGUUGCUGAUCAACAAGUAAGAUGAGGGCUGGAUUUGACAAUGAGAGGGUCAUUGGUGAUCUUGGCAAAGCAGUUUUCAAAGAGGUAUUGAAAGGAAAACCUCCUCAGUGUGUUUCAAGAAGGAAUGGAGGAGAGGAAGUGGGAAGGGUAAGUACAAACAAGAUAAACAGGAUUUUGAAGAUUUUUGUUUUAGUGGAAAACAUAAAAUGUGGAUGAUAGCUAGGGAACAACAUGCACAAGAGGGUUGCUUUUUAAGAUGAAGCAUGUUAUAGCUCACUUGAUGCUGAAGGGAGCAUUUCAGUAGAGAAAACAAGAUGAUCAGGAAAGAGAGGGAGCAACUUUUGUAAUUUUAUUAAUUUAUUAUUAUUGCUGAUAAUUAUAAUAAGAUUCAUAUCCAAAAGCCUUACAAAUCAAUCAAUUAUACUAGUAGCCAAUAUUUAUUGAGCAUUUACUGUAUGACUGGGACUAUUUCAAACACCUCCAAUUGUCCUAACAUUGCUUUAUUCUCUUAAUGUAUAUUACCACCCCCAUUUUACAUAUGAGAACAUAUAAACUUAGCAGAAUUAAGAAUUGCCAAACCCAAGUUUGGCUGCCUUAGUGUAGACUAUUAAUGUCUGCUAGGUUGCCUCUGGUAAACUGCUUACUGUAUUUCAGUUAGGCAGGGUAUUAGACCUUUUGGGGAGAUUUCAACAAAUACCUUUCCAGUUAUUUCAAAAUCAACCAAAUAUUUUAUGGGUUAGUGAAGGUGUGGUCUUACUCAGAUGCCUCAUUCCAUAUCACUUACUUUUUGCAUAAACAUAACUAUAAAUCUGGAAUAUCUGUGAAUGCCACUGGACAGGAUGAUAGAAAUGAAAGGAUCAUUUUAGGACAGCAAGACAGAUGGUUCACCCAGUCUUAUGGGUAUCUUUGAGACUGUUACCUGAGCAGCCUGAUGAAAUAGAUGUGAAUUUUUUUUUAACCAUUAUUCUUUAGUCACUUAUUUGGAGACACAGCUGUAAAGAAAGUGGACAGCCUAGAAUGGCCCCAGAACUUCCUGACCCUUGAUGAGAUACAAGAGGAAGAUAAGACCCCAAAGCAGGCCCAAACUGGAACAGAUGACCCUUAGUUGUCUUUAGACUAUAAGCAUGUUAUUAUAAUGCUAGAAUUCCCUUUCCAAAAAAAUAUGCCUCUCAUUUUAUGUACAUUGGCUGCAUGAAGAUGUACAUUUAUGAAUUGAGCCUGUGUCUGGGGUCCCACCCUGUAUAUGCUAACACAUUCCUUUCCCUCCUCAUAUGUAGUCCAAAAAAACCUCAUGCCUUCUAUUGUUCAGGGGUAAGUGGCCUUUAGAGGGUAAGCUCAAUCCUUGUCUGUUUCUGACCAGAAAGAAACCCUGCUUGCCUUUUGUUCUAAUUGGGUAUUCCUUUUUUGAAACCAAUACAAAAUAGGCAAAGAAUUCAUUCUACCAGUGACAAGACCACUGUAUUGGGGGGUGUCUUAUUUCAUUUUGCAUUACUAUAAAGGAAUACCUGAGGCUGGGUAAUUUAUAAAGAAAAGAAGUUUUGGCUCACAGUUCUGCAGGCUAUACAAGAAGCAUGGGACUGGCAUCUGCUUCUGGUAAGGAACCUAGGAGCUUCCAAUCACAGUGGAAGGAAAAGGGGAAGCAGAUGUGUCACGGGCAAGAGAGAGAAUGAGCAAGAGAGAAGUGAGUGAGAAGAAGGAAGAGAGUGAGAGAGGAAGGUGCUAGGAUCUUAUUAACAGUGAGUGAGAUUUCUUUCAUGCACUCCCAUGAGAAUGACACCAAGAAAUUCCGGAGAGUUUCACCCUCAUGACCCAAACACCUCCCAGUAGCCCCCACCUUCAACAUUGGGGAUCAAAUUUCAACAUGAGAUUUGGAGGAGACAAAUAUCCAAACUGUAUCAUAAGAAAUAUUGAAAGAUUUUUUAACAAGGUUUGUGGCCUCAGGCAAGUUAUUUAAUGUGUAUUAGUCCAGUUUUCAUACGAUGUACUUUGCAGGACUUUGGCCAGGAUGACACACACAUGAGAGAUAAUGUGUGUCAAUUGCCAAGUACGGUGCCUGCCACAGAGUAAGCACUUAACAAUGCUCACUGUUUUUUUUUUUUUUUCUCAGUAGCUUAGAAAAGGCAGUUUUGGCCGGGCGCGGUGGCUCACGCCUAUAAUCCCAGCACUUUGGGAGGCCGAGGCGGGUAGAUCACUAGGUCAAGACAUCGAAGAUCAUCCUGGUCAGCAUGGUGAAACCCCGUCUCUACUAAAAAUACAAAACUUAGCCGUGCAUGGUGGCGCAGCCUGUAGUCCCUCAGCUACUCGGGAGGCUAAAGUAGGAGAAUUGCUUGAACCCAGGAGGCGGAGGUUGCGUGAGCCAAGAUCGCGCCAUUGCACUCCAGCCUGGGUAAUAAGAGCGAAACUCCGUCUCAAAGAAAAAGAAAAAGAAAAAGAAAAAGGCAGUUCUUCAUUUCCAAAUGAAUUCCAGUGAGCUUUAUAAAACUUACAGGGCCAUAGGGAUUGCUUGAUUACAAAGAAAUAUUUGGGAAUUGAACGGGAAACUGUGUUUAGAAUGCUGCGUUGUAAAGAGACUAUUUCAUGCUCUAGGUCUAUUCAACCCAAUUGCAGCUGGGCACCACGUGAAGGACGUCCUUCCUAUUACAAGGGUAACUUACCUUGACAGCUAGUUCAGUUUAUCUUACAAAAUCAACAUCUUCGUGAGGCAGACAUUUUGAAAUUGUGCUGUGUUGUCAAUGAUCUAUUCCCAGUGAUUUUCAAAUUUUCUUUAGUGGUAGAGACCCUUCUUUAUGAAUAAAAUUUAACAUAGAAUCUCAAAAUAUGAAAAAAAUAGUAUAGGCAAACUGCUUUUCUUGAAGCUAGGCUAGGAGUGGGUCCCAACUUAGCCCCCUCUUCAGCAGUUUCCCCUCCUCACCUCACGUGGUCCUUCAGGCUUAACAAGGAAACCUUAGGCCUCUGUGGGAUCUGGUUUUAAAAAUACUUGUCUUUAGAAGGGUCUCUACCACUAAAGAAAAUUAAAGCCUAGGCACUGAGGGUAUCAAUGCAUGAACCUUUCAACAGUAUUUAUCUAGCAUAGACUAUACUCCAGACAUUAUGCUGAGUAGUGUUAGGAACACUGUGGUGAAUAAGUAAGACCCGGCUUUAAUUAUGUAGGCUUUAAACAUAGAGAUAUUUGUUGUAUCAAAUGACUGAGUCCAGAGCUAGAGAGGCUAUGGUAGGCAAUAUAAUAGCUCCCCAGAGAUGUUCAUGUCCUACUUCCAGAAACCUAUGAACAUGUUGUUGUUGCAUGGCAAAGGGGAAUUAAGCUUGCAGAUGAAAUUAGGGUUGCUAGUCAGCUGGCCUUAACAUAAGGAGUUAACCUGGAUUUUCCAGAAAGAAAUGCAGCCAUGCUGCCACUUUGAUUUUAACUAAGUGAAACCCAUUUGAACCUCUAAUCUCCAGAACUGUAAGAUAAUAAUUGUUUUUGUUUGUUUAAAGCCACCAGUUGUAAUUUAUAAGAAUGGUGAGGAAAUUUAUAGAUAAAUUACAAAUGGUGGCUUUAAACAAACAAAAUUACAAAAUUUAUAGAUAUAUUACAAAUGGUGGCUUUAAAAAAACAAAAACAAUUAUUAAGAACUGCAGCAAUAAAAAAUGCAAUUAAUCUUAGCCAAAGGGCCCAGAAGCCAUAGCAAUAGAAAAUUAAUAUAGUGGACUUCGGGGUUUGUUAAUUCAGCAACUCAAAAGUCAUCAAGAGUGUAAAAAAAUGGCAUAUAGACCAAAGGAAUAAAAUUGAGAUUCCAGAAGUAAACCUAUAGAUCUAUGAUCAAUUAAUUUUUGGUUUUUUGCUUGUUUGUUUUUUGCUUUUUUGAGACAGAGUCUUAUUCUGUUGCCGAGGCUGGAGUGCAGUGGCACAAUCUUGGUUCACUGCAACCUCUGCUUCCUGGGUUCAAGCAGAGAUCUUGCCACCUUGGCCUCUCUAGUAGCUGGGACUACAGGCAUGUCCUGCCAAGCCCAGGAAGGUGUUGUAUUUUUUGUUUUUUUUUUUGUAGAGAUGGGGUUUCACCAUAUUGCCCAGGCUAGUCUCAAACUCCUAAGCUCAAACAAACCACCCAUUUUGACCUCCCAAAGUGCUGGGAUUAUAGUCAUGACAAGCAGGCCCAACCCUACACGUGAACUAAAACCAUAAAACUCUUAGAAGAAACUAUAGAGGUCAUCUUUAUGACCUUAACCUUGGCAACUGGGUCUUACAUAUGACACUGGAAGCAAGAGCAACAACAACAAAAAUAGAUAAACUGGGCCACAUCAAAACAAAAACACUUGUGCAUAAAACAACAUAGUCAAGAAACUAAAAAGACAACCUGCAGAAUGAAAGGAAAUAUUUGCAAACCUCAUCUCUAAUAGAAGUUUCUAUUCAGACUAUAUAAAGAAUUCCUACAACUCAAUAACAAAAACACGAACAACCCAAUUAAAAUAGAGGUGAGGAUGUGAAUAAACAUUUCUUCCAAGAGGAUAUGCAAAUAGCCAAUAAGCACAUUAAAAGAUGCUGAACAUCUUUAGUCAUUAGGGGAACAUCUAUUAAAACCAUGAGAUAUCACAUUUUAUACUUGCUAGGAUGGUUAGAUAUAGAUAUAGAUAUUUGUAAAAGGAAAAUAAGUGUUGGCAAGGAUGUGGAGAAAUUGGAAUUCUCAUGCAUUGCUGAUGGAAAUGUAAAUGGUACAGCUGCUGCAGAAAACAAUUUGGGCAUUCUUUAAAAGGCUAGACAUAGAUGAGCCAGUAAUUUCACUCCUAGAUACAUAACCAAGAGAAGGGAAAGGAAAGACUCUAACAGAUAUUUGUAUGCCAGUGUUCAUCCCAGCAUUAUUCACAAUAGCCAAAAGGUACAAAUAACUCACAUGUUUAUCAAUAGAUGAAUGGACAAACAAAUGCUGUAUAUAUGUACGGUGGAAUAUUUUUCAGCCUUAAAAAAGAAAGGAGGUUUUGAUAUGUGCUUAAACAUUGAUGAACCUUGAAAAUAUGCUAAAUAUAAGUAAAUUAGCCAGAUACAAAAGAACAAAUUUUGUAUGAUUCCAUUUGUAUGAAAUAUCUAGAAUUGGCAGAUUUCUAAAGACAGAUAGUAAAUUUGAGGUUACUGGAAGCUGGGGAGAAAGAGGAAUGGGAGCUGCUGCUUAAUGGACACAAAGUUUCUCUUUAGAACAAUGAAAGUUUGGAAACAUAUAGUGGUGAUGGUUGUAUAACAUUGCGAAUGUAAUUAAUGCCAGUGAACUGAACACUUAAAGUGAUUAAAAUGGCAAAUUUUAUGUUUUUUUUUUUAACCACAAUAAAAAAAUCAUCAAGGACUCAGGUUCUUUCCUUCUUUUCUCUUUGCUAUCUAUUGCAUCAACUUCAUCCAUCCUAAGGCUAGUUCAUUUCUCAUUUUCCUCUUUCAGACAAUAACAAAAACUGUAACUGAGUUAUGAGACCCCUAGAACCAUAGAAGGGCAAGACGAAUGUUAUCAACAUGUCAAUAACAGUAAUCAUUACAGCCCAAAGUGGUAAUGUUAAGAAAAGUGGUAUCAAUGUGGAUUUUGAUCUCCAGAGACAUAUUACCAUCAGCCUAAGGCAAGUUGGAAGGAUAGCAGGGCUGAAGUGGCAGGAAAGCCUAAGCUUUCCUGGGCCCUACCAGAGAGUGCAAGACUGUAGUGACAAUUGGAAAUCUGUGAAUAUUCAGUCAUCAUCUCUAAAAAGAUUCUUAAUUUACUAAAAAGUUCUAGAAAAACUUGAAGAGAUUUUAGAGGCUGAUUCCUGGACAAAGUAAGAAAUGAUUCUGGGUCUUAAGGAAGAAUGUCAGGAUCUCAGUUAAAAAGACUGGCACAGAACCCAAAUUUGGCAUUUAAGGGAGAAUAUGGAGAGAUGCUGGGGGUAAAGCAAGACUUGCAGACAGUAAAGAGGAGAUUGGGUUUUCUAAGGAGUGACCUAAGGGAGGGAGAAUACUCUGCAACAGGGUCAGCCUUAAGAAAAACUGAGGGCUAAAGACUUAGUUUACUAUACUGCUCUCAAGUACCUUGAAGCCUAGGCCUGCUUUUUCUUGUGCUCAAGUGCCUCUGGAAUCCUGGUUAUGGCCAAGCCUUCCCCCAGUAAUAGCUGUUUUGAGAAAUAAUACAGUAUUUUUGAGGCAACUAUCAUGGGUGGGACCUGAAUUUCAUAAAUCUUUGAUCUCUAGAAAUUAGCUUGAUGGUCUUUGCCAGAUUGGAUAUUUGUUGUUGCUCUUCUUAUUAAUAAAGAUAAUGAUAUGAGAGACUCUUUUAAGCUCAUUAGGUAUUAGUAACAAGCAUUUAAGGGAAACAAAUAAUACUUGAAUAGAAAAACACUUUUGUGAAGCUUAGCAUUUUGUAGUCCAUAAAAUAUAUUAUAUUUGCCAGCCUCAGCCUCAUGACUUGGCCCAUAUCAGACCUUUUCCUACAUUGGCCUGUGUGUUGGGCCUGGGAUCAGAUUUAUCACUAGUGGAAAGAAUAGUCAGCUUUGGAGGGGUGUGAGUAGAAAGACUCAGGCAUGACACCAAAACUAGAUCUCGUAAGUCAGUAAGACAAUUGAUAUUUGAGGGACUAAGUCCCAGAAAAGAUGUGUUUCCAAAAAGUUGAUAUCUAGUUACUACCAACCAAAGACAGAAGUAUGGUCAAAGAACUUGUAACCAAGCAGGUCUGAAGUAUAAACAAAAAGCUGGAUUUUGCUUAGUCUUUUUCCUCUAGCAGACUUACAUAGCUUUUUUGUUCCUAUAUAGUAUAGAGGUCUAGUAGUCUCAACUCUAAGCACAAAUUCUGAUUGUCAGGGGCUGAGUAGGUUAAUUUGAUAGUUCAGAUUCAAAGUCAUGAUGAUUAGAGGGCAGAAUGGUAUAUUCUCAGAUUGAUGAGGGCCUGUGGGAUUUCUGGAAUAUGUAAUUCCAAAGCUGGAUCUUCUAGGGUUACUUGAGAGCUAAGACGGUGUCUGAGUCUUAACCCUUCCAAACAGGACCCAUACUACCCAUAUGGUACCUUUGUGUAGAUUAGAAAAAGAUGUCCUGUCCACUGGGUGAUGCAAGCCCCAUGACAGGGCCUGAAGCUUACUGAGCAGAGGGCAGGCUGGCUUUAGCCUCCCGUCAUCAUUCUGGGUAGGCAACUAUAUGUAGUGAGCCACCUGCAUGAUCAUACAAGAUAGCAGCCUGGCCUUCACAUCAUACAUGAGGAUUAACCACAAUUAGCAUAUUUUGGCAAAUCUCAACAUGUGAGAGUAUCAAAUACAUUUAUAGAAAGUGUUUGUUUAAUUAAUGCAAAUAGAAUUAAGAAGCUUUACUUUCUGACUAAUCCUAAAUGCAACAUUACUAUGUACUAUGAUCCUCACUUUUUUUCUCACAUUAUCAUGUAAAAUCAUUGAUUUUUACUUGUUUCAUUUCAACUUGUGCAGCUCUCUAUAUUAAAAGGAGUAUACAAAAAUGGUUUACUUUCAUUCUAGCUAACUAACAUUUUACUACUAGUUAUGAAGGUUAGGUCUUCGUUUUACUUGUGUCUGAUAGCCUUGAUUUACAGUGGAUAGAGUUAUGUGUCGGGGUGGGAAGGCAGGGAGAAUUUAUGAUCAACUAGGAACAAAUAUUGGUCUAGACUCAGUGUUCUAAUGGGUGACUGGAUGAUUUUUCUGAAAAUAGGAAUCUCCAAAAGAAGUGUCUGAAUAGAUUUAUAACAUAGAAUUAGAGUUUCAAAUAUUAUUAAUGUUUUCUGCCACCCCUACCAUUAAAGGAGGUCCAUUUUGAUGAGGAUGUAUUGUUACCUCUGCCUGGUGUUUUGUUUUAUUUUUGUAUUGUUUUAUUUUGUGUUUUUCUUUUGCCUUCUUCGGUUAUUCACUGCUUGAUUACUGAAAUACCAAUCUUGGUCCUCUACCACUCUCUAAGCCAAACUUGAUAGAAACUUAGUCUCCUCAUUGGGUAUCUUCAGGCUGCUGUAGCAAAAUACCAUGAACUGGAUAUCUUGUGAACAACAGAAAUGUAUUUCUCACACAUCUGGAGGCCGGGAAAUCCAAGAUCAAGCUGUUGGCAGGUUUGGUGUCUGAUGAAGGCUCUACCUUCCAAUAUUAUCACAUAGGGGAUUAAAAUUUUAACACAAAAAUUUGGGAGAGAUACAAAUGCUCAGACCAUAGCAUUGAGUAUAGUCACACUCUUCAGACUCAGAAUCUGGAGGCACAGUCACAACUCCUAGGAUCCAGUUUGUUCCCUAACUCAUUUUUUUAAAAAUAUUAUUUAGAUUCAAAAUCUGGUAUGUCAGGAGUAUAGCUUACAAGUCACAAAUAUUAAUUGAAUAUUGUUGAACCUAUUGUGGUCCAGGCAGUAAGCUAAGACCCAGAAGUAAAGUGUGGAUCAAAAAGAUAAAGGCAAGAGAAGAGAGAGCCACAAUAUAGCCUUUAUUAUAGGAAAAUUGGUAGCACAGGUAUGUGGUCCCAGUCCUAGUCUUGAAAAUUUGGGAAACCGUCUUCCAGGAAGAGAAGAGGAGUGAGACUUAGCCAACUGAAAAUAUGUAAACCCUAGAAGCAAGGGAUCAUGGCACAUUUAGGAAACUACAAGGAAUUAGUUAGGACUAGAGCAUAUAAUGUAAGGAGUAUAGUGGUCAAAAUGGAGGUUGGUAGAAGACAGAACAGUUAGGAGGCUACUGUAGUAAUCCAACUGAUAGAUGAUGAUAUCUUGAACUAAGGUAAUAACUGUGGGGAUGGAAAGAAAAGAGAAAUUUAAAAGACAUUAAAAGAUACAGAAGAAAAGAUGAGUGUUUGAUUUGGAUAUGAAGGGUAUGAGAGAGGGAAACAGUUUGUAUAGUGCCUAUGUUUCUGACUUUGGCAAUUGAGUGGGAUGUGGUGGCUAUAGCCAAGAAGGAGAAAUGUUUGAAAAAGAGGAGUCUUGGAAAAUCUUUACUUCCUUCCUAGUAGCCUACUUAGUUACUCUUUCUAGCAUCCUAGUCAGGUCUCUCAGAUAAAUAACUUUGCUCUGAAGUUAGCCUAUUGCACAUUUCUGAUAUCUCAUCAGUAUCCUUGAGGGCUAGAACUCUACCCUAGAAACAAGCCCACUGCCACCACCUCCAUUGGAUGGAGAUAUUUUAGACAUGGACAUAAUUCCUUGAAUCACAGUUACAACACACUAGGACACUGAGUAUAAAUCCAUACCAAGAUUCUGCUCUGCACUGCUCAGUCUGGCAAACAUACCCUGGGUUUUGACAGUUGUAUUACGCUUGAGGUCUUUCUGAUUUUUGGCACCACUUUGGGCUAUGUCUUAACUUGGUCACCUUGUAUUAUUAGGCCAACAGCUCCAAUAAUGAUUUUUCUCCUCUACGAUGACCCAACAAUGCUGCAGAUUUGUUCCAGACUGGCCUGAAAAUAAGACUAUGGAUAAUGGGGUAUGAAAGUUGAAGCAGCACUCAGAAUUCUUCUACUUUGCCAGCUCUAACCUUGCCUUUGAAAGAUAAACCAAAAUUGAAUAUUACUGGAGCUGCAGAAAUGGUAUAGUGUCCUAUUAUUUCUCUUCCUCCCUCUCCAAGAAAGCACAUGGUGGAAGAGUGGGCUCUCUGUUAAGUACCAGUUACUUUCACCUUCUUAAGCUUUGAUUUGAAGCUAGUUUCUAGUCCUGCAAACUUAAAACAAAGAGCAAACCAACCAAAGAACAACCUGAUGAUAAUUAGAUGGCUCUCAAACCAUUAAGUUGCCUCUUAAAAUUCUUACCUGUGGUGAGUACACAACAUUCAACACCUUUGCUCCACAUGCAGCCUCUCACUAGGCAGUUAGAACCAAUUACCUUAGGUACAGAUUUAUUAGAGUGGUUGAGUUAAUGUGCCUCAUUAAAACCUCAUGGAGAUAAGUAACUCACAGAUCCCUGCUGGCUAGAAACUUCUCUUCUGGUCAGGUUUUCACUGCUGACAGGCAAUGGAAAGUUGAUUAACCAGCAAAUUUGACACGGUUAGAUAUAACUUAGAAGUUUAAAAACUUCACAGGAACUUUAUGAGACUCAUGGGCUGCUUGCCAUUCUGGGAAAUCAGACAUUUUCACAAGAAAAAGGACAAACAGGGAGGUGUUUUUAAGGGAAAGGAGUAGUUAAGAAAUGAUGUCCUGUGGUAUUUUUUCUGUAGGUAACAGUAUGGUUCUGGGAACUCUUCUCAGGCACUGUAUUUCCAUCUCCUUCCUUGAGCAAUAGUUGGAGGCCACAGGGAGAUAAGAAAACAUGAGUACUUGGUAGUGAGGGAGAAGUCAAUAUUUUAGUGUAUUUUUUUCAGAGAUAAUGAAUCUGCACUUUGGAGCUACCCUGAAUAUAUCUGCACUAGUUCUCAGCUAUGAGAGUGGGUGAGCAGAAUGAAGAAGCUAAGAGGUAUCCUGGAGAGGAUAGUUUCUUAGAGCCCAGUAAACUCCCUAAACUGAUGAUAGAGGAUACAAGCUAGAUUCUAAUGGGAAAAAAGGGGCUCCUUCUAUACCUCAGUUACCAGGAGAUGGGUCAUGGCAAGCCCUACUGGUUAACACAGGUAGUUUCCUGCCUGACAUGUGCUGAAGUAGCCUCUGUCUUCAAGCAGCCAGCAUGGUAUCCUGCAGGAUACAGUCCAUAAAGUGGAUGGUUGUAACCUGUGAUGGAAGUGGUUCCAAGCAAUCUUUUCAGGAUGUGUGGAAACCAUUUAUUACCUACUCAGUGCAUGGUGAAGAGUUAGGACUAGGGAGUCAUGAGAGAAAAGAGAGUUGCCCAUACUAGGAAGAGUUACAGGAAGUGAUUCAGUCUGGCUCCAAGACAUUGUUGGAAAAAAUUAUUGAGCACAUAAAUAUGCACAUAUUUCUUAAGCAAUAGUUUUCUUUCAUUGAGCAGUUACUCUUUGCAUAUUACAUACAACUUUUCAUUUCAUAUUCACAAUGAUCUUAUGGGACAAGCAUUUUCCAAUUAUGCAAAGGAGAUAGGUACAAAAAGACUAAACAACUUGCUCUCUAAAAACAUGUGCUGUUAACUACUUUCUACACCGUCUCCAAGUACUGUGUAGUUCUACUAAUAGUAGUUAAGGACUUCAAUUCUUAAUGUUAGUUUAAUUUGAUGAGAAAAUUAUAAUAUUUUUGUUAGUUGAUUCAGGUUGUUACUUGUAAACAUCUCAAGGUGAAAAAAGUAAGACUGAGUAAACUACAAAUAUGUUGUCUCCUCUGUGUCUAACAGAGACCUAAAGCUAUUUUUCAGUGAGAUUAAAUGAAGAAAUAAUGAAUGUGACAGUGCCAAGCACAGUGACUGGAACAUAAUAUAUGUUUAAAACGUUGGUUUGUUAUUUAUCCUAGAAUCAUGUCAAUUCAAUCUUUAAUUAGAGACUCAAAAGCAAAUUAUAUAAGGAGUCUAAAUAAUAUUUCAGAUUUUCUUUAACAUAAAGAUGUUCUCUUUAAAUACAGGUUUCAAAAAGAUUUUAAAAAUUUCUUCUUCUCUCCCUCUGUUAAAAUCUCAUUUAAAUUUAGGUCUAGACAUUUUACCUCUAAGCUAUUUGUGUACUUACACUCUUCCUUAUAUUAAGACCAGAAGCACAGGACGGGGAUGAAUUAGGGAAGGAUGAAUCCAGCUAUACUUUUGAGUUCACUGAUCAUCUCAGAUGAUUUUUCAAAUGUUUUGGGCUCACUGAAAUCCAAAACAGGUUUCACCCAUGCUUUUACUCUUAAGUUUGGUGCAUGUGCAAUUUAAGGGAAAUUUAAUCCAUAUGUUUCUGAUUCGUUUACACUUAAAUAGUCAAAAUAUUGUUUUUAAUAGUUAUUUGAUGCCCAAGUAGCCUUUUGAACCUUUAAAGUAAGCUUUUAGAAGCCUACAUUUCUCUUCAAAACAGGAAAUCAUAUCUUUCCAAGGAGGUAAACUAAUUUAUACAUCUGAAAAUUCAGGUUCAGUUGAAAACACCCAAAACCACAGGUUUUUAAUGGCCUGUCUGCUUGGCAAAUGAGCACUCAGCUUUAGACUUAAAUGCUAUUUGAAUGCAUCUACUUUUUCUGUAUAUUUGGACUGGACAUCCAUUUCAGUUGAUAUGGGACUAUUUUGAGUGUUAGUUUUGUGGUCCUGAAGUUUGUAAUUUACCUGGUUUUAACCUUUAGUACAAUUAUUCUUAUUUUUAAUUUAUCCUAGCUCUUCUAAUGGGUAGACUAACAUGACUAUACUUAUUUUUCCCACUAUUUUCUGUUGGUUUUCUCUCUUCUCCAUCAAUGAUCAUAUAUUUUCUUUGAAUAAAUGAAAGUAACAGAUCUCCAAUAAAAUUAUAAAACACUUCAAUUUAGAUGUGAAUAUUGUAUCUCUCCUGCAUACCCAGACAAUGAGCAAAAUCAUGGUAGAACUAAAGAAAAUUAAGCAACACGCCUUGUUUUUUUUUUUUUUUUAAUUGAGAGUUACAGCAAAAAAAAAGGGGGGUUCGAUUAGUUUUACUCAGAGAUUUUAAAGGGCAGAGAAAUUUAAAGAACUCAGAGUUCUGUUGAAUGACCCCUUUCUCCUCUUUGCUUACACCAUUGUAGCUAUGCUAUUUCCCAAGACACAUCCAUCCCUGCUCAGAGCCUUUAAUAUGUUGUGUCUUCUGCCUGUAACAUUCUUAUUCCAGGUGUCUACAAGACUCAUUUCAUUCCUGUCUGUUCUCAAAAGAUACUUUAUCAGAAAGGCCUUCCCUUCCUAGCCCAUAAGAAAUAGACCUCCUUCAGUUAUCCAUCUCCAAUUCUUCAUAUUUCUACCCUAUUUUAUUUUUCUUCAUAGCAGUUAAUGAAUCUCUCUCUCUCUCUGUCAUUUCUAUAUUUUUGUUUUCAUCCAUCUCUACAAACCAGAAUGUAAUCUUUAUGAGAGCAGGUAUUGUUUUAGCUCACAGUUAUAUUCUAAGCACCUAGAAAAGUAUCUAACAUUUAAUAUGUCCUCUCUAAAUAUUUUUGAAUGAAUGAAUAAUUUUUGGCUUACUUGUAUUUAUUCUCAUAUGUCCAUUUAUACUUCAAAACAUUCAUAAAUGUUUAUUAUUAUUAAACUUGAUUAUUGACACAUGCCUAGUCACUUACUAGCUGUGUGAACUUGGAUAUAUCACUAAACCUCUCUGUGCCCCAGUUUCAUCAUUUAUAAAAUAGAGAUUAAUAAUAGUACCUAAUUCAUAAAGCUUUUGUCAAUAUUGAAAAAAGUACAUAUAAAACCCCUAGUACAGAACCUGGAUAGUAGUAAGUCCAUAGUAAAUGAUGAAAAAAAUUAUUAAAUAAACUUUGGAGAAGGAAUACAUACUGUAAAUAAGGCACAGAGCUACUCUUGGAAUACAGAAUUGUACUUUCUUCCUCCAAGAUGUUCACAGCUAUUGCUAUAUAGCUUUUUUUCCCCCUGUCCAGUCUAUUGAAAUACUAUAUAGCUUUAGAAAUAGUUUGACGGAAGUUUACCUAGCUUAAUAUUGCAAUCCAGUUGAAGGGUGUUUAGACUUUCUAGGUCAAGAGAGGCUUGAACGGUAUCUUUAGGGAAAAUAGAAGUUAUCAAUAAAGAAGGAAAGGUAGACCAAAAUAAUAUGCCAGUCAGAGGGCAACAGCACAUAAAGAGGCAUGGAAGCAUGAGAUAGUGUGACUGGGGAAGUGUAAUUGUCUUAGUCUUUUCUGGCCACUAUAACAAAAUGUCAUAGACUGGGUGGCUUAUAAACAAUAAAAGUUUAUUUCUCACAGUUCUGGAGGCUAGGAAGUUCAAGACCAAAGUCCCAGCAGAUUUGGUGUCUGGUGAGGACCAACUUCCUUGUUUAAAGAAUGGUGCCUCCUCACUAUAUCCUCUUAUGUUGGAAGGGGAGGGCUAGCACUCUGGGAUCUCUUUUAUAAGGGCACAAAUCUCAUUCACCUGUGCUCUGUCCUCAUGACCUAAUCAUCUCCCAAAGAUCCUACCUCCAAAUACUAUGACAUUGGGAUUAAGUUUCAACAUAUGAAUUCUGGGAGGCACAAACAUUCAGACCAUAGCAGUAGUCUCGGUUUGCAGGGUGGUUUGCUGCAUCUGGGUCAUACGGUAAGUCUAAGACAUUAAACAUCUUUCCUGAUGGUGACAGAAAAUUGUUGAAAAAUUCUAAGUAGACAAAUGAUAUUAGAUUUGGGUUGUAGCUCAGUAGUCAGAGAGGUAUGAAGACAUCUGAAAGUUGAAUGAAAUUUGUUGAUGUUUAAACUACAAGUAAUGGAAGUCCUGUGUCCUUCCCCACGUCUCUGGGGAUUUGGUGAAGAAGUAGAGACGAGAAGGAGUUGUUGGAUUUCCUAGUCCUUUCUGGCUCAAAGUUUCUUCUACUAUAAAACUGCAGUUCUUGGAUCCCCAUAUUAAUAUCCUAUAUAUCCUUAACAUAUCUGUGAAACAAGAUGUUUAAUUUAGUUCUUUUCCUUCUCUUUCAGGAAACAACCACAUCAAAUGUAUCCCUUUUUUUUUUUUUUUUUUUUUUUUUUUUAAGACAGAGUUUCGCUCUUGUUAUGCAGGCUGGAGUGCAAUGGCGCAAUCUCGGCUCACCGCAACCUCUGCCUCCUGGGUUCAGGCAAUUCUCCUGCCUCAGCCUCCCGAGUAGCUGGGAUUACAGGCAGGCGCCACCAUGCCCAGCUAAUUUUUUUUAUUUUUAGUAGACACGGGGUUUCACUAUGUUGACCAGGAGGGUCUCGAUCUCUUGACCUCAUGAUCCAACCCCCUCGGCCUCCCAAAGGUCUGGGAUUACAGGCUUGAGCCACCACGCCCGGCCAAAUUUAUCCUAUUUGACCAUGCAGAAUACUUGUUGGAAGAGAAAAGAAUGCUUUUUAUCUCUUACCAAACUAAAGUCCAUCUGAUGCAAGUGAAGUUGCAAAAUGGGCGAAAUGAUACCUGGUCACCUCCUCCAUGGGAUUAAGGUGAGGUGAAAGAAAGAGGAUGUGGACACAUUCUGAAAAUUUUACAGCUUUAUAUCUACAUAAAGAAUUUCUAUGCACUGUUCACAAUAUCGAAGAUUUGGAAGCAGCCUAAGUAUCCAUCAACAGAUGAAUGGAUAAAGAAAAUGUGACAUAUAUAUGCAAUGGAGUACUAUUCAGCCAUAAAAAAGAAUGAGAUCCUCUCAUUUGCAACAACUAGAAUGGAACUGGAGAUCAUUAUGUAAGUGAAAUUAGCCAGGCACAGAAAUACAAACAUUUAAUGUUCUCACUUAUUUGUGAGAUCUAAAAAUUAAAACUAUUUAAUUCAUGAAUAGAGAGAGUAGAAGGAUGGUUACCAGAGGGUGAGAAGGGUAGUGGAGGGUUCAUGGGGGGAAUUCGGGAUGGCUAAUAAGUACAAAAAAUAGUUGGAAAAAAUGAAUAAGACAUAUUAUUUGAUGGCACAACAGGUUGACUAUAGUUAAUAAGAACUUAUCUAUACAAUUUAUAAUAAGGAGUAUAAUUAGAUUAUUUGCAACUCAAUGGAUAAAUGCUUGUGGGAUGGAUACUCCUUUCUUCAUGAAGUGCUUAUUUUACAUUGCAUGCCUGUAUCGAAACAUCACAUGUGCCCCAUACAUACAUACACCUACUAUAUAACCACAAAUGUUAAAAAUAAAAUUUUUAAAAAAGAUUUACCUCUUUUGAACAGAAGAAGUUUCUAUCCCUAAUCACUCAGGGAAUUACAAGAAUUUUAGGAGCUUUGUGCCAGGAAUCUGAGAAAGAAAUAAAAUAUCUUUGUACUGAUACCACAGCAACUGUAAACAUUGAUUUGCAUCCUAUUUGUCACAUGGAAAAGUCUAUGUAGGGACUUCAAGGGAAGUAGCAGCAUGAAUAUAUUUAUUUAACAGUGAUUUAUGAUUCCAGGGCAGUGCCUGGAAGUUGGCUGGUAUGAAAUAAUAGAUGUUAACUGAAAAGUCUUAUUAGUCAGUUUUAAGAGCAUCACUCUUAUUAAGUGAUCAUCUAUAAUAAUUUUUUUCAUAAUAUAUUAUUUCAGGAAGUCUUUAAGAGAGGGAAAAUAUGGGAUAUAGAAUUGAUUCCCUUUAUUCUCUCUCCAUUCAUCAUGCUUAUCUAAAAACAAAACAAAACAAAAACAAAUUCUGGUAAAUUCAACUAUCUACCUGAUCUUCUGUACUUAGAGCAGUUGAAUGAUGACAGAUAAAAUUAUACAACUAUGCCUACGGAUUGCUUUUGAAUUUACAUUCAAAAUUUCAAGUGGGUAUUCACUAGUGCCCCAAAAUACAAGAAUGUCCUGGUAAGUGCAUUGUUUUCAACAAUAACUAUUUUAUAUCUGGUUCUGUUUUUCUCAAACCUUUUGUCCAUACUCUGUGAGCUCAUGUUUUAUUUAAAACUUCACUAAGAAUAUAAGAACGAUCAAAAAGAACUUCUAUAUUUUCUUCACCAUGAAAUCUGCCAACUUCCUAGCAUAUGUAUUGUAUACUGCCUUCCCUUAUUUCAUAAUAAGUGAACUGUCUGUGCUCCCAUUGACCAAAGCCUCUUCCUGCAUAAGGGAUUUAUUUUUUCUACUUUAUAUGUAGAUUUGGGAGUGCCCUAAAUUCAGUCUUUGGUCAUCUUCUUUAUGCUUUUAAAUUUCAUCUUUUCUCUAGGUAAUGUCAUCUAGUUCUAGAGCUUUCAAUACCAUCCAUAUACUACUAACUCCAAAAUUUUAUCUCUAACCCUGGUCUCUUUCCCAAAUUCAACUGCAUUUCACCUUCACUGUACCACCCACUCCCCCAACCCUCCCCACCUUCCUGCCUCUUUUUUAAGCCACCUCCAUUUUUGCCUGGACUAUUGUACUAGCCUCCUGCUUCUAUUCUCCAUUCAGUGGCCAAAGUAAAAAUUUUAAAAGCCUAUACAAGGUCAUAUUAAUUCUCUCUUUUUAAACUACCCAGUGUUUUUCACCACCAUUAGAAUAAAAUGCAAAAUCCUGGCUAUGUCUGACAACAGGGCUCAGCCAACUAUAGCAAGCCAAAUCCAGCCUCCUCAACACCCCACUUCCUACCCUGUUUUUGUAAGUAAAGUUUUAUUGGAAGACAACUAUAACCAUUUGCUUACUUAUUAUUUAUGGCCGGUUUCAUGCUACAAUGGUAGAAUUAAGUAGUUGCAACAGAGAUUAUGUCUUUCAAAGACUAAAAUAUUUGUGAUCUAACUUAUUAGGAGUUAGAUAAAAGUUAAAUAGUAAAUAUAUUUUUGUCCCUGAUCUAUUAUAUUCUAAAAGGAAAAAAAGAAAAAAGAAAGAAAGAGAAGAAGGGAGAGAGAGGAUUAGAGAGAGGGAGAGGGGUAGGGAAUAUAGAGAGGAAGGAAGGAAAGAAGAAAGGAAAGAAGAAAGGAAGGAAGGAAGGAAAGAAGGAAGGAAGGGGAAAGGAAGGAAGGAAGGAAGGAAGGAAGGAAGGAAGGAAGGAAGGAAGGAAGGAAGGAAGGAAGGAAGGAAGGGAGGGAAGGCAAGCAAUAAGGAAAACAAGUUUGGAAGUUUGGUAAGGUUACCUGAAGUCUAAGUUAAGGACUUUUGAGUGUCUUUUGGUUUCAUUGGUAAUACUUUAGGUCUGCCAGGGGUUUUGUGAGAUGUCUUAUGACUUUUUAAACUAAUUUGGUGAUAGAAUUUCUGAGAUUAUGGCUUUUUAUGAAGCACUCUGCCAAUGGAAUAGAUGCAUUCUUAAAAAAACUGCUUGUGUUUCUCUGUAGAAAGUAGUUUGGAGAUUUCUCAAAGAACAUAAAACAGAACUACCAUCUGACCUAGCCAUCCCAUUACUGGAUAUAUAGCCAAAAGAAAAUAGAUCGUUUGACCAAAAACACAUAUGUACCGUUAUGUUCAUUGCAGCACUAUUCAUAAUAGCGAGGACAUGGAACCAACCCAGGUGUGAAUCCACAGUGGAUUCAAUAAAGAAAUGUGGUAUAUAUAUAUAUAUAUAUAUAUAUAUAUAUAUAUAUAUAUAUAUCUCAAGGAAUUCUAUGCAGUCAUUAAAAAGAAUGAAAUGAACUCCUUUGCAGCAGCAUGAUGCAGCUAGAGGCCAUUAUCCUAAGUGAAUUAAUGCAGGAACAGAAAACCAAAUUCUGCAUAUUCUCACUUAUAGGUGACAGCUAAAUAUUGGGUACUCAGGCACAUAAAGAUGGCCACAAUAGUUACUGGGGUAUAAUAAGGGGUUGAGAGUAGAAGGGGGAAAGACUGACAAGGUAGCUGUUGAGUAUUAUGCUCAAUUCCGGGGUGACGGGUCCAAUCACACUCCAAACCUCAAUAUUAAGCAAUAUACCCCUCUAACAAACCUGCGCAUGUAUCCCCUGAGUGUAAAAGGUGAAAUCAUUUAAAAAGAAUUUUUAAAAAGAAGAAAAACUGCCUGUAUAGAUGUAAUUAGAACACAACUCAUGUCUCUGGAUGAAAAUAUUUUCUAUGAAAACAAUUCUUUAAUGUUUUAAUCUAAGUGAAAAAAGAGCUUUGCUACUCAGAAAUUUGCAGUUAAAGCAGUUUUUUAGGAAUACUUUGGCUCUUGUACAUAGAUAAACACCAAACUGGUGAUCUCAGGCUGAGUAAUGCCUGUCAGGCCAUUUACAAUUUAUGUGGCUAUAGUACAUACUUCUUGUAGAUGCUUUGGCCUCGUAAAAUAAAGAAAGGUGUUAAAUGUAAGGGUGUACGUAAAGGAAAGGGAAAGAAAUCAACACAAGAUUUCCCCAGCAAUAGAGAGCAUUCCUUUAUACACAUAAUUUAUUAAGAGGAUAAACACCCAAAAUUAUAUUUCAAAGUUUUAUUUAUUCAUCUCUAUUUUGAAACUUUUAUUAUAUUGCUACAUUCUCAGCUCCCUAAAGUCAUCAUUACCAAAAUAUUGAGACUGCACAGGUUAUGGAUGUGGUAGGCACAUAAGCAUAUUUGUUGAAAAACUCUAACUCAAAACAAAAAGUUUUCUGUUUUUUUCUUUAUUUUUGUUUUAUUGUGGCUAAAAACAUACUAUAUAAAUUUUAUAAUCUUCACCAUUUUUUAAGUACAUAGUAGUGUAUUCACAUUGUUAGGAAACAGAUCUCCAGAACUUUUUAAUUUUGCAAAUAUGAAACUGUAUCCCACUAAAUGACAACUCUCCUUUGCCUCCUACCCCUAGCCCAUGGUAACCACCAGUCUACUUUCUGUUACUUUAGUUAGCUCAUAUAAAUGGAAUCAUGCAGUAUAUGCCUUUUUGUGACUGGCGUAUUUGAUUUGGCAUAAUAUCUUCAAGGUUCAUCCAUUUUGCAGCAUGUGUCAGAAUUUUCUCCUUUUUAAAGACUGAAUGAUACUCCAUUGCCUGUAUGUACCACAUUUUAUUUAUUCAUUCAAUUGUUUAUGAAUACAUGGGUUGCUUCUAGCUUUUGGCUAUAGCUAAUCAUUCUGCUAUGAACAUGGGCAUACAAAUAAUCUCUCUAAAUUCCUGCUCUCAAUUAUUUUGGGUAUAUAUCCAGAAGUGAAAUUGCUAGAUUUUAAGACAGUUCUAUUCUUAAUUUUAGCAAAAACAUUUAUUUGGUAUAAUUUAACUUAAUAUAUUGAUAAUUUGUUUCCCUGCCUGUAUGGUCUGCUUCCCAGUAUGGAUCAAUGAAGGCUAUAAAAAAUAGAGAAGAUAUACAGUUUUAUGGUGAAUAAGAAAAUAAAAACACAGUAGGAACUGAUACAAUUUGGAUCUAUGUCCCUGCCCAAAUCUCAUGUCAAAUUGUAAUCCCCAAUGUUGGAGGCCCUGGGAGGUGACUGGGUCAUAGGGAAAGAGUUCUCAUCAGUGGUUUAGUACCAUCCCCCUACCCUUGGUACUGUAAUAGUGCAUGAGUUCUCAUGAAUCUGGUUGUUUAAAAAGUGUAUGACACCUCUCCUACUCUCUCUCUCUUCCUCCUGCUCUGACCCUAUAAAGAUGCCUGCUCUGGCUUGGCCUUCUACCACAAGUUAAAGCUCUCCCUUUGAUUUUGCCAUGAUUGUAUGUUUCCUGGGGUCUCCCCAAAGCCAAACAGAUGUCAGCAUCAUGCUUCCUAUGUACUCUGUGCAGAACUGUGAGCCAGUUAAACCUCUUUACUUUAUAAAUUACCUAGUCUCAGGUAUUUCUUUGUAGCAAUGUGAGAACUGACUAAUACAGGAACAUAACAGGAACAUAUUAAGAAUGCAUGCUAUCCACAUUAAGCUGCCAUUGACACUUCACAAAAUUGGAAAAAAACACCUUAAACUUCAUAUGGAACCAAAAGAGAGCCCACAUAGCCAAGACAAUCCUAAGGAAAAAAAAAAACAAAACAAAACAAAACAAAACUGGAGCCAUCAUGCUAUCUGACUUCAAACUAUGCUAUAAGGCUACAGUAAUCAAAACAGAGAUAUAGACCAAUGGAACGGAACAGAGGCCUCAGAAGUAACACCACACAUCUACAACCAUUUAUCUUUGACAAACCUGACUAAAACAAGCAAUGGGAAAAGGAUUCCCUCUUCAAUAAAUGGUGUUGGAAAAACUGGCUAGCCAUAUGCAGAAAGCUGAAACGGAAUCACUUCCUAAUAACUUAUACAAAAAUUAACUCCAGAUGGAUUAAAGAUUUAAACAUAAGACCUAACACCAUAAAAACCCUAGAAUAAAAUGUUGGCAAACCAAUCAGGACAUUGGCAUAGGAAAGGACUUCAUGACUAAAACACAAAAGCAAUGACAACAAAAGCCAAAAUAGACAAAUGGGAUCUAAUUAAACUUAAGAGCUUCUACACAGCAAAAGAAACUAUCAGUAGAGUGAACCAGCAACCAACCAACAGAAUGGGAAAAAAAUUUUGCAGUCUACCUAUUUGACAAAAGGCUAAUAACCAGAAUCUACAAAGAACUUAAACAAAUUUACAAGAAAAAAACAACCCCAUCGAAAAGUGGGUGAAGGAUAUGAACAAACGCUUUUCAAAAGAGGAAAUUUAUGCAGCCAACAAACAUAUGAAAAAAAGCUCAUCAUCACUGGUCAUUAGAGAAAUGUAAAUCAAAACCACAUUGAGAUACCAUCUCAUACCAGGUAGAAUUGUGAACAUUAAAAAAAUCAGGAUACAACAGAUGCUGGAAAGGAUGUGGAGAAAUAGGAAUGAUUUUACAUUGUUGGUGAGAGUGUAAAUUAGUUUAACCAUUGUGGAAAACAGUGUGGCAAUUCCUCAUGGAGGUAGAAAUAGAGACACUAUUUGACCCAGCAAUCCCAUUAUUGAGCAUAGACUCAAAGGAUUAUAAAUCAUCUACUAUAAAGACAUAUGCACACAUAUGUUUAUUGCAGCACUGUUUACAAUAGCAAAGACUUGGAACCAACCCAAGUGCCCAUCAAAGAUAGACUGGAUAACGAAAAUGUGGCAUAUAUACACCACAGAAUACUAUGCCACCAUAAAAAAGGAUGAGUUCAUAUCCUUUGCAGGGACAUGGAUGAAGCUGGAAACCAUCAUUCUCAGCAACUGACACAAGGACAGAAAACCAAACACCGCAUGUUCUCACUCAUAAGUGGGUGUUGAACAAUGAGAACACAUGAGCACAGGGAGGGGAACAUCACACA